GUUCAUUCUAAUUUGAAAAUUUUACCUUUAAAAAAUUGAAUCGCCUACGGUUUAUUGGGUUUUCUGUUUUUUUGCUUUGUUAAACCUCUAUCGUGUCUAGUUUCUACUAAACGACAAACACAAUUGUUCAACAUGUUUCCAAAGUACUCUCCACAUAACAUACCAAUCAAAACUUUGAGCCUUAUGUAUGAACAUUUUCGAAUCUUAUACGGGUUCUUCCAAGAGCAAACCUUAUGCGAUGUAACGUUGAUAUGUGAUGAUGGCGUUCAAAUUUCAGCACAUAAAGCAAUUUUAGCAUCCGCAAGCCCUAUGCUAUUAGCAAUGUUCAAUGGUGGCUUCAAGGAGACCAAAAAAAUUAGUAUACCUAUUAAAGACAUCGAGUCUGGUAUUUUGAAGUCAAUUGUAACUUGUGCAUAUACGUUUCAGAUGGAUAUCCAGGAAAAUAAUCUUGAGAAACUAGUGAGAGCUUCUGACUACUUUCAAUUUAACUAUACUAAGGAUUUAUGUUAAGAUUAUGUUAAAAAAACAUAAAUAUCACUAAUUGUUUCAAUUUUAUGAGAUUUGCUGAAUCUAUAUCACAAAAAGGACUAUACAAUUAUUGUUUCUUGUAUUGUUUAGACAAUUUUAAUACAAUUCUGGAAACUGAAUCGCAAAUAGUACAAUUAUAUGAAUUCAAUUUGGAAGAUAUUGUUAAGCUCAUAUCAAACGAUCAUUUGAUGGUUAAAUCUGAAGAAAAGAUCUUUGAUUUUAUUAUGGGAUGGAUAAAACAUGAUAUAGAGAAACGAAGUAGACAUUUAUCAAAUUUACUAAAUUAUUUGAGGUUACCUUUAAUUUUGGAAAAAAAUUUCAAACGAAUAUGUGAUGAACCUUUACUAAAAAUUGAAAUUAAAUGCUUGAAUGAUAUAAUGUAUAAAAAAUGAUUUGACAAGGUUGACGAAAAUAUUAGAAAAGCAGCAAAGAGGACACCUCCUCAUUUUAUACCAAAUGUAUCAAACACAAAUAAAACAUAUGUUUCAAUAUUUCUUAAAUAUAUUUUUGCUGUAUGGGAUAUAUCUAGAGAACUUUUUACAUUUGUAGAAAAUAAAAUAUUUAAUAAUUUGCUUCAGACUAUUUUCGCAAUUAAAGGUCAAUCCGAUGAUGAUGAUUCUUAUGUAAUGUAUAUGGAUUUUAGGUAUGAAAAUGAUCUUAAUUGGAAAUCAUGUAAUUAUUCAUUUUUUUGUCCACCUCGUCGUGAUGCAACUUUUGUCGUUUCGGAAACUGGAAUACUACUUGCAAUUGGAGGUUAUGAUGAAAUAGAAAAAUGGAGUAAUUGUGUUUAUGAACUUGAACUUACUUCUACAUCAAAAAUGCGGAUACCUACAACGCCUUUGCAUAGAUCAUAAUUAUAUUUUUCUGUUUGCACUCAAGGAAAGUAUAUAUAUGUGGUAGGAGGUGAUGAUACUUUAAGAGAAACAUUAGAUUCAAUAGAAUAUUAUGACACAUAUUCGAAGGAAUGGACUGUAAUAGAAGAGCCAUUGCCAACCGCUCGGAGUUUCUGCUGUUCAGUAAUUCACAACUCUCGUUUAUAUGUUUUUGUUGGAAAUGACGGUGAAGACCUUUUAAGUAGUGUAUACUGCUAUAAUCUACAAGAAAAAUGUUGGACUAUGUGUAAUCUUAUGCCUACAGCUACCGCUACAACAAUGGGCAUUACAAGCAGAGGAAAUGAUUUAUAUAUAUUUGGCGGUCAUGGAACACCUAAAGGUGCUUACAAAAUGAACAUAAAUGAUUCAAAAUGGGAUACUCUACCCGAUAUGAUCAACGCAAAAUAUUUUGCAAAUGCCGUUACUAUUAAAAACAAUUUUUUUGUUGUGGGAAAGAAUACUGCUUGGUGGUACACAAAAAAUGAUGAAAAACCCAAGGGAGUCUUUUGUGAAAGAUAUAUUGCUGGAAAAAACAUAUGGCAAGAGAUUGAGUCAUCAAAUAUAUUAAGUGAUUAUGAUCACAUAAUUUGUCUUAAUGAUGCGAGAUUGAAAACAUUUAAUAUUGACAUAUCAUAAAAAUUUUAAUAUUAUAUACUAUGAAAUUGAAAAAAUAUUUUUUUAAAAGAUAAUCAA